ensembl:misc_RNA Metazoa_SRP Metazoan signal recognition particle RNA
GCCAGGUGUUGUGGCACGUGCCUGUAGUCCCAGUUACUUGGGAGGCUGAGGCAGGAGGAUCAUUUGAGCCCAGGAGUUUGAGGCUGCAGUGAGCCAUAAUUGCACCACUGCACUCCUGCCUGGGCAACACAGGGAGACCCUGUCUCUA